rnacentral:rRNA from 1 species
GGUUAAGCGACUAAGCGUACACGGUGGAUGCCCUGGCAGUCAGAGGCGAUGAAGGGCGUGCUAAUCUGCGAUAAGCGCCGGUAAGGUGAUAUGAACCGUUAUAACCGGCGAUACCCGAAUGGGGAAACCCAGUGUGAUUCGUCACACUAUCAUUAACUGAAUCCAUAGGUUAAUGAGGCGAACCGGGGGAACUGAAACAUCUAAGUACCCCGAGGAAAAGAAAUCAACCGAGAUUCCCCCAGUAGCGGCGAGCGAACGGGGAGGAGCCCAGAGCCUGAAUCAGCAUGUGUGUUAGUGGAAGCGUCUGGAAAGGCGCGCGAUACAGGGUGACAGCCCCGUACACAAAAGCGCAUGUGCUGUGAGCUCGAUGAGUAGGGCGGGACACGUGGUAUCCUGUCUGAAUAUGGGGGGACCAUCCUCCAAGGCUAAAUACUCCUGACUGACCGAUAGUGAACCAGUACCGUGAGGGAAAGGCGAAAAGAACCCCGGCGAGGGGAGUGAAAAAGAACCUGAAACCGUGUACGUACAAGCAGUGGGAGCACCCUUUGGGGUGUGACUGCGUACCUUUUGUAUAAUGGGUCAGCGACUUAUAUUCUGUAGCAAGGUUAACCGUAUAGGGGAGCCGGAGGGAAACCGAGUCUUAACCGGGCGUUAAGUUGCAGGGUAUAGACCCGAAACCCGGUGAUCUAGCCAUGGGCAGGUUGAAGGUUGGGUAACACUAACUGGAGGACCGAACCGACUAAUGUUGAAAAAUUAGCGGAUGACCUGUGGCUGGGGGUGAAAGGCCAAUCAAACCGGGAGAUAGCUGGUUCUCCCCGAAAGCUAUUUAGGUAGCGCCUCGUGAAUUCAUCUCCGGGGGUAGAGCACUGUUUCGGCUAGGGGGCCAUCCCGGCUUACCAACCCGAUGCAAACUACGAAUACCGGAGAAUGUUAUCACGGGAGACACACGGCGGGUGCUAACGUCCGUCGUGAAGAGGGAAACAACCCAGACCGCCAGCUAAGGUCCCAAAGUCAUGGUUAAGUGGGAAACGAUGUGGGAAGGCCCAGACAGCCAGGAUGUUGGCUUAGAAGCAGCCAUCAUUUAAAGAAAGCGUAAUAGCUCACUGGUCGAGUCGGCCUGCGCGGAAGAUGUAACGGGGCUAAACCAUGCACCGAAGCUGCGGCAGCGACGCUUAUGCGUUGUUGGGUAGGGGAGCGUUCUGUAAGCCUGCGAAGGUGGCCUGUGAGGGUUGCUGGAGGUAUCAGAAGUGCGAAUGCUGACAUAAGUAACGAUAAAGCGGGUGAAAAGCCCGCUCGCCGGAAGACCAAGGGUUCCUGUCCAACGUUAAUCGGGGCAGGGUGAGUCGACCCCUAAGGCGAGGCCGAAAGGCGUAGUCGAUGGGAAACGGGUUAAUAUUCCCGUACUUGGUGUUACUGCGAAGGGGGGACGGAGAAGGCUAUGUUGGCCGGGCGACGGUUGUCCCGGUUUAAGCGUGUAGGUGUGUGUUCCAGGUAAAUCCGGUUCACUUUAACACUGAGGCGUGACGACGAGGCACUACGGUGCUGAAGCAACAAAUGCCCUGCUUCCAGGAAAAGCCUCUAAGCAUCAGGUAACAUCAAAUCGUACCCCAAACCGACACAGGUGGUCAGGUAGAGAAUACCAAGGCGCUUGAGAGAACUCGGGUGAAGGAACUAGGCAAAAUGGUGCCGUAACUUCGGGAGAAGGCACGCUGACACGUAGGUGAAGUGAUUUACUCAUGGAGCUGAAGUCAGUCGAAGAUACCAGCUGGCUGCAACUGUUUAUUAAAAACACAGCACUGUGCAAACACGAAAGUGGACGUAUACGGUGUGACGCCUGCCCGGUGCCGGAAGGUUAAUUGAUGGGGUCAGCGCAAGCGAAGCUCCUGAUCGAAGCCCCGGUAAACGGCGGCCGUAACUAUAACGGUCCUAAGGUAGCGAAAUUCCUUGUCGGGUAAGUUCCGACCUGCACGAAUGGCGUAAUGAUGGCCAGGCUGUCUCCACCCGAGACUCAGUGAAAUUGAACUCGCUGUGAAGAUGCAGUGUACCCGCGGCAAGACGGAAAGACCCCGUGAACCUUUACUAUAGCUUGACACUGAACAUUGAGCCUUGAUGUGUAGGAUAGGUGGGAGGCUUUGAAGUGUGGACGCCAGUCUGCAUGGAGCCGACCUUGAAAUACCACCCUUUAAUGUUUGAUGUUCUAACGUGGACCCGUAAUCCGGGUUGCGGACAGUGUCUGGUGGGUAGUUUGACUGGGGCGGUCUCCUCCUAAAGAGUAACGGAGGAGCACGAAGGUUGGCUAAUCCUGGUCGGACAUCAGGAGGUUAGUGCAAUGGCAUAAGCCAGCUUGACUGCGAGCGUGACGGCGCGAGCAGGUGCGAAAGCAGGUCAUAGUGAUCCGGUGGUUCUGAAUGGAAGGGCCAUCGCUCAACGGAUAAAAGGUACUCCGGGGAUAACAGGCUGAUACCGCCCAAGAGUUCAUAUCGACGGCGGUGUUUGGCACCUCGAUGUCGGCUCAUCACAUCCUGGGGCUGAAGUAGGUCCCAAGGGUAUGGCUGUUCGCCAUUUAAAGUGGUACGCGAGCUGGGUUUAGAACGUCGUGAGACAGUUCGGUCCCUAUCUGCCGUGGGCGCUGGAGAACUGAGGGGGGCUGCUCCUAGUACGAGAGGACCGGAGUGGACGCAUCACUGGUGUUCGGGUUGUCAUGCCAAUGGCACUGCCCGGUAGCUAAAUGCGGAAGAGAUAAGUGCUGAAAGCAUCUAAGCACGAAACUUGCCCCGAGAUGAGUUCUCCCUGAGACUUAGAGUCUCCUGAAGGAACGUUGAAGACGACGACGUUGAUAGGCCGGGUGUGUAAGCGCAGCGAUGCGUUGAGCUAACCGGUACUAAUGAACCGUGAGGCUUAACCUU